AACGAACGCUGGCGGCAGGCCUAACACAUGCAAGUCGAGCGCCCCGCAAGGGGAGCGGCGGACGGGUGAGUAACGCGUGGGAACGUGCCUCUUGCUAUGGAAUAGCCUCGGGAAACUGGGAGUAAUACCGUAUGUGCCCUACGGGGGAAAGAUUUAUCGGCAAGAGAUCGGCCCGCGUUGGAUUAGGUAGUUGGUGGGGUAAUGGCCUACCAAGCCGACGAUCCAUAGCUGGUUUGAGAGGAUGAUCAGCCACACUGGGACUGAGACACGGCCCAGACUCCUACGGGAGGCAGCAGUGGGGAAUCUUAGACAAUGGGCGCAAGCCUGAUCUAGCCAUGCCGCGUGAGCGAUGAAGGCCUUAGGGUUGUAAAGCUCAUUCAGUGGGGAAGAUAAUGACUGUACCCACAG
rnacentral:rRNA from 1 species